UGUUGGGUGCCCGUGGUGGCCCUUGGGUUACCGUUGGGUGCUCCUGGUGGCCGCUGGGUGCCUGUUGGGUUGCUGCUGGGUGCCCGUGGUGGCUGUUGGGUGCCCGCGAUGGCCAUUGGGUGCCCACAGUGGCUGUUGGGUUGCCGUCGGGCGCUCCUGGUGGCCGUUGGGUGCCUGUUGGGUUGCCGUUGGGUGCCUGCGGUGCCCUUGGGUUGCCGUCGGGUGCUCCUGGUGGCCAUUGGGUGCCCGUUGGGUUGCUGUUGGGUGCCCACAGUGGCUGUUGGGUUGCUGUUGGGUGCUCCUGGUGGCCGUUGGGUGCCCGUUGGGCGCCCAUGGUGGCUGUUGGGUGCCUGUCGGGUUGCCGUUGGGUGCCC
rnacentral:lncRNA from 1 species